rnacentral:rRNA from 1 species
UACGUAGGGGGCGAGCGUUGUCCGGAAUCAUUGGGCGUAAAGCGCGCGUAGGCGGCCAGAUAAGUCCGGUGUGAAAGUCAAAGGCUCAACCUUUGAAUGCCGCUCGAAACUGUCUGGCUUGAGUCCGGAAGGGGCGAGUGGAAUUCCUGGUGUAGCGGUGAAAUGCGCAGAUAUCAGGAGGAACACCGGUGGCGAAGGCAGGUCUCUGGGCCGAAAUUGACGCUGAGGAGCGAAAGCGUGGGGAGCAAACAGG